ACCUUAAUGUAACCGCACAUAUCAGGUUUUAAAGCGAGAGCUGCCUGUUUUGGCGAGUCUUGUAAUGAGG
rfam:Clostridiales bacterium KA00134 genomic scaffold Scaffold20, whole genome shotgun sequence.